CCUACGGGUGGCAGCAGUGAGGAAUAUUGGUCAAUGGACGAGAGUCUGAACCAGCCAAGCAGCGUGAAGGAUGACUGCCCUAUGGGUUGUAAACUUCUUUUAUAUGGGAAUAAAAUGUUCCACGUGUGGGAUUUUGUAUGUCCAAUAUGAAUAAGGAUCGGCUAACUCCGUGCCAGCGGCCGCGGUAAUACGGAGGGUCCGAGCGUUAUCCGGAUUUAUUUGGUUUAAAGGGAGCGGAGGCGGCUGGUUAAGUCAGUUGUGAAAGUUUUCGGCUCAACCGGAAAAUUGCAGUUGAAACUGGCAGACUUGAGUGCAGUAGAGGUAGGCGGAAUUCGUGGUGUAGCGGUGAAAUGCGUAGAUAUCACGAAGAACUCCAAUUGCGAAGGCAGCUCACUGGACUGCAACUGACACUGAGGCACGAAAGUGUGGGUAGCAAACAGGAUUAGAUACCCCUGUAGUC
rnacentral:rRNA from 1 species